GAUGAACGCUGGCGGCGUGCUUAACACAUGCAAGUCGAGCGAAGCACCUUGACGGAUUUCUUCGGAUUGAAGCCUUGGUGACUGAGCGGCGGACGGGUGAGUAACGCGUGGGUAACCUGCCUCAUACAGGGGGAUAACAGUUGGAAACGGCUGCUAAUACCGCAUAAGCGCACAGUACCGCAUGGUACGGUGUGAAAAACUCCGGUGGUAUGAGAUGGACCCGCGUCUGAUUAGGUAGUUGGUGGGGUAACGGCCUACCAAGCCGACGAUCAGUAGCCGACCUGAGAGGGUGACCGGCCACAUUGGGACUGAGACACGGCCCAAACUCCUACGGGAGGCAGCAGUGGGGAAUAUUGCACAAUGGGGGAAACCCUGAUGCAGCGACGCCGCGUGAGCGAUGAAGUAUUUCGGUAUGUAAAGCUCUAUCAGCAGGGAAGAAAAUGACGG
rnacentral:rRNA from 1 species